AUGAAACGCAUAGUUUGGGAGAAAAUCGGAAUCCAACACCACGAUCUUUCUGAGUUGGACUCCACUUUCGACGAGGAUGAAAUUAAGGAGGCAGUUUUCUCCUUACCUUCGGUCAAAGCAGCCGGCCCAGACGGUUUUAUCGGUGCCUUCUUCAAGUCCUACUGGGAGAUCAUCACGACCGACGUCGUGAAUGCAAUUAUGCAAUUGGCUAACCUCCGCGGCGAUUGCGCGGACCUCACAAAUUCGGCAAACAUUAUCCUGCUACCUAAAAAGGCAAACGCCGCCUGGAUUGGGGACUACCGUCCAAUCAGCCUGAUUCAUAGCAUAUCCAAGAUCUUCUCCAAGCUGUUGGCAAACCGUCUAGCUCCGAUGCUCCCUGCGUUGGUCUCCCAUUGUCAGAGCGCCUUCGUGAAGAAGCGGUGCAUCCAUGAUAACUUCUUGCAUGUUCAAAACUUGGUGAAGGAGCUGCAUCGCACUCAAACGCCCGACCUCUUCCUCAAACUGGACAUCUCAAAGGCUUUUGACUCCGUGGGCUGGGCCUACCUGCUGGAGGUGCUUCAGCAACUUGGGUUCAGUCAGCGCUGGCGGGACUGGAUUUGCAUGACCCUCGCAACAUCUUCCUCCAGGAUCCUGUUGAAUGGGAACCCCGGCACCCCUUUCACUCAUGCAUGCGGCCUGCGUCAGGGUGACCCCAUAUCUCCGAUGCUGUUCAUCUAG
rnacentral:rRNA from 1 species